rnacentral:rRNA from 1 species
AUUGAACGCUGGCGGCAGGCCUAACACAUGCAAGUCGAACGGCAGCGGGGGGUAGCUUGCUACCCCGCCGGCGAGUGGCGGACGGGUGAGUAAUGCCUGGGGAGCUGCCCAAUCGAGGGGGAUAUCAGUUGGAAACGACUGCUAAUACCGCAUACGCCCUGAGGGGGAAAGGUGGGGAUCUUCGGACCUACCGCGAUUGGAUGCACCCAGGUGGGAUUAGCUAGUUGGUGAGGUAACGGCUCACCAAGGCGACGAUCUCUAGCUGGUCUGAGAGGAUGACCAGCCACACUGGAACUGAGACACGGUCCAGACUCCUACGGGAGGCAGCAGUGGGGAAUAUUGCACAAUGGGGGAAACCCUGAUGCAGCCAUGCCGCGUGUGUGAAGAAGGCCUUCGGGUUGUAAAGCACUUUCAGCGAGGAGGAAAGGAGGAUAGCUAAUACCUAUUCUCUGUGACGUUACUCGCAGAAGAAGCACCGGCUAACUCCGUGCCAGCCGCCGCCGUAAUAC